rnacentral:tRNA from 1 species
GAUUAUAUAGUUUAAAAUAAAACAUUAAUUUUGUAAAUUAAUAUUAAAAUAUAAUUUUUAUAAUCA